rnacentral:rRNA from 1 species
AUGAACGCUAGCUACAGGCUUAACACAUGCAAGUCGAGGGGCAUCAGGAAGAAAGCUUGCUUUCUUUGCUGGCGACCGGCGCACGGGUGAGUAACACGUAUCCAACCUGCCCUUUACUCGGGGAUAGCCUUUCGAAAGAAAGAUUAAUACCCGAUGGCAUAAUGAUUCCGCAUGGUUUCAUUAUUAAAGGAUUCCGGUAAAGGAUGGGGAUGCGUUCCAUUAGGUUGUUGGUGAGGUAACGGCUCACCAAGCCUUCGAUGGAUAGGGGUUCUGAGAGGAAGGUCCCCCACAUUGGAACUGAGACACGGUCCAAACUCCUACGGGAGGCAGCAGUGAGGAAUAUUGGUCAAUGGGCGCUAGCCUGAACCAGCCAAGUAGCGUGAAGGAUGAAGGCUCUAUGGGUCGUAAACUUCUUUUAUAUAAGAAUAAAGUGCAGUAUGUAUACUGUUUUGUAUGUAUUAUAUGAAUAAGGAUCGGCUAACUCCGUGCCAGCAGCCGCGGUAAUACGGAGGAUCCGAGCGUUAUCCGGAUUUAUUGGGUUUAAAGGGAGCGUAGGUGGACUGGUAAGUCAGUUGUGAAAGUUUGCGGCUCAACCGUAAAAUUGCAGUUGAUACUGUCAGUCUUGAGUACAGUAGAGGUGGGCGGAAUUCGUGGUGUAGCGGUGAAAUGCUUAGAUAUCACGAAGAACUCCGAUUGCGAAGGCAGCUCACUGGACUGCAACUGACACUGAUGCUCGAAAGUGUGGGUAUCAAACAGGAUUAGAUACCCUGGUAGUCCACACAGUAAACGAUGAAUACUCGCUGUUUGCGAUAUACAGUAAGCGGCCAAGCGAAAGCAUUAAGUAUUCCACCUGGGGAGUACGCUGGCAACGGUGAAACUCAAAGGAAUUGACGGGGGCCCGCACAAGCGGAGGAACAUGUGGUUUAAUUCGAUGAUACGCGAGGAACCUUACCCGGGCUUAAAUUGCAGUGGAAUGAUGUGGAAACAUGUCAGUGAGCAAUCACCGCUGUGAAGGUGCUGCAUGGUUGUCGUCAGCUCGUGCCGUGAGGUGUCGGCUUAAGUGCCAUAACGAGCGCAACCCUUAUCUUUAGUUACUAACAGGUCAUGCUGAGGACUCUAGAGAGACUGCCGUCGUAAGAUGUGAGGAAGGUGGGGAUGACGUCAAAUCAGCACGGCCCUUACGUCCGGGGCUACACACGUGUUACAAUGGGGGGUACAGAAGGCAGCUAGCGGGUGACCGUAUGCUAAUCCCAAAAUCCUCUCUCAGUUCGGAUCGAAGUCUGCAACCCGACUUCGUGAAGCUGGAUUCGCUAGUAAUCGCGCAUCAGCCACGGCGCGGUGAAUACGUUCCCGGGCCUUGUACACACCGCCCGUCAAGCCAUGGGAGCCGGGGGUACCUGAAGUACGUAACCGCAAGGAUCGUCCUAGGGUAAAACUGGUGACUGGGGCU